rnacentral:lncRNA from 1 species
CUCCUGUGGCUGGCCCUGUCCCUGACAACGCUCUUUACUCUUUGUUUUGUCCUCAGUGGUCCCAGGCUGCACCCACGACAGAAGGGGAGCAGAAAGCCCAUGAAGUGGUGAAGUUCAUGGACGUCUACCAGCGCAGCUAUUGCCGUCCAAUUGAGACCCUGGUGGACAUCUUCCAGGAGUACCCCGAUGAGAUAGAGUAUAUCUUCAAGCCGUCCUGUGUGCCCCUAAUGCGGUGUGCGGGCUGCUGCAAUGAUGAAGCCCUGGAGUGCGUGCCCACGUCG